rnacentral:rRNA from 1 species
UACGUAGGGGGCAAGCGUUGUCCGGAUUUAUUGGGCGUAAAGAGCGUGUAGGCGGUUAGGUAGGUCCGUUGUGAAAACUCGAGGCUCAACCUCGAGACGCCGAUGGAAACCAUCUGACUAGAGUCCGGAAGAGGAGAGUGGAAUUCCUGGUGUAGCGGUGAAAUGCGUAGAGAUCGGGAGGAACAUCAGUUGCGAAGGCGGCUCUCUGGACCAGCACUGACACUGAGGCACGAAAGCGUGGGGAGCAAACAGG